CACCCUGUCUUUCUCCCCAUAGCCCUUCUCUCCUGACCUGGCUUUACAGGUGUUGUGAAGAAAGCAGGCUCCUUCCCUCGCUGGCUGGGAGCUGCUGCUUUGUUCUCUCUCCACAGCGCCCUCUGGUGGACAAAAGGCAGAACUGCAGAAGUUAUUUUCUGUUGGGAGCGGCUGUUCUUGCACCACAGCGUCCUCUGAAAGCGUUUGACAAGUUCCCUCACCACAGGCUUUUAAGUAAGCAGUUAUGGGACAACAGGGAAGGUCCUCUUAUGGAUCAAUAACUUGUUAAAAGCAUCAACACCACUUGAAAGAAAAGGAAGCAUCAUUGAACUGGGGGUGGGGUCCUGGCUGACAAGAAUCCAACUAGACUGCUGUAAGCAUGUGAUGUCCUGGCUUGUUCCACCAUCCUGGCUGAUGGUGCUGCCCAAGUAUGUGAAUGUUUCU